UGGGGAAUAUUGCACAAUGGGCGAAAGCCUGAUGCAGCGACGCCGCGUGCGGGAUGAAGGCCUUCGGGUUGUAAACCGCUUUUAAUUGGGAGCAAGCGAGAGUGAGUGUACCUUUUGAAUAAGCACCGGCUAACUACGUGCCAGCAGCCGCGGUAAUACGUAGGGUGCAAGCGUUAUCCGGAAUUAUUGGGCGUAAAGAGCUCGUAGGCGGUUUGUCACGCCUGGUGUGAAAGUCCAUCGCUUAACGGUGGAUCUGCGCCGGGUACGGGCAGGCUAGAGUGCAGUAGGGGAGAUUGGAAUUCCCGGUGUAACGGUGGAAUGUGUAGAUAUCGGGAAGAACACCAAUGGCGAAGGCAGAUCUCUGGGCUGUUACUGACGCUGAGGAGCGAAAGCAUGGGGAGCGAACAGGAUUAGAUACCCUGGUAGUCCAUGCCGUAAACGGUGGAUGCUGGAUGUGGGACCCUUCCACGGGUUCCGUGUCGGAGCUAACGCGUUAAGCAUCCCGCCUGGGGGAGUACGGCCG
rnacentral:rRNA from 1 species